AAUCCACACGACUCUCGGCAACGGAUAUCUCGGCUCUCGCAUCGAUGAAGAACGUAGCGAAAUGCGAUACCUGGUGUGAAUUGCAGAAUCCCGCGAACCAUCGAGUCUUUGAACGCAAGUUGCGCCCGAGGUCUUUCGGCUGAGGGCACGCCUGCCUGGGGCGUCACGC
rnacentral:rRNA from 1 species